AAAGCCUGAUCCAGCCAUGCCGCGUGUGUGAAGAAGGCUUUCGGGUUGUAAAGCACUUUCAGCGAGGAAGAAGGCCUGAUGAUUAAUACUUGUCAGGAAGGACAUCACUCGCAGAAGAAGCACCGGCUAACUCCGUGCCAGCAGCCGCGGUAAUACGGAGGGUGCAAGCGUUAAUCGGAAUUACUGGGCGUAAAGCGCGCGUAGGUGGCUUGAUAAGCCGGUUGUGAAAGCCCCGGGCUCAACCUGGGAACUGCAUCCGGAACUGUUAGGCUAGAGUGCAGGAGAGGAAGGUAGAAUUCCCGGUGUAGCGGUGAAAUGCGUAGAGAUCGGGAGGAAUACCAGUGGCGAAGGCGGCCUUCUGGACUGACACUGACACUGAGGUGCGAAAGCGUGGGUAGCAAACAGGAUUAGAUACCCUGGUAGUCCACG
rnacentral:rRNA from 1 species